GGCCGGCUAGCAUAAUGGUUAACGCGUCAGUUUCCGGUGUAUACAUACCACAAGCUGAAGAUUCCAUGUUCGAGUCCUGGGUUGGUCG